rnacentral:rRNA from 1 species
UACGAAGGGGGCUAGCGUUGUUCGGAAUUACUGGGCGUAAAGCGUGCGCAGGCGGUUCUGCAAGACCGGGGUGAAAUCCCCGGGCUCAACCUGGGAACUGCCUUUGUGACUGCAUGGCUAGAGUACGGUAGAGGGGGAUGGAAUUCCGCGUGUAGCAGUGAAAUGCGUAGAUAUGCGGAGGAACACCGAUGGCGAAGGCAAUCCCCUGGACCUGUACUGACGCUCAUGCACGAAAGCGUGGGGAGCAAACAGG